GGGGGUAUAGCUCAGGUGGUAGAGCAUUUGACUGCAGAUCAAGAGGUCCCCGGUUCAAAUCCGGGUGCCCCCU
rfam:Homo sapiens chromosome 1, GRCh38 reference primary assembly.